rnacentral:rRNA from 1 species
UACAGAGGGUGCAAGCGUUAAUCGGAAUUACUGGGCGUAAAGCGUGCGUAGUCGGUUAUCUAAGUCGGGUGUGAAAUCCCCGGGCUCAACCUGGGAAUUGCAUUCGAUACUGGAUAGCUAGAGUUCGGCAGAGGGAAGCGGAAUUUCGGGUGUAGCGGUGAAAUGCGUAGAUAUCCGAAGGAACAUCAGUGGCGAAAGCGGCUCUCUGGGCCGUCCCUGACGCUGAGGACGCGAAAGCGUGGGGAGCAAACAGG